rnacentral:lncRNA from 1 species
GAGGGCGGGGAGUGAUCGCCGGUGCAAGAAGCGUGGUGCAGGGGGCACAGACAAGGAGCGGCUCCUGGCAGGCUUCGAGUGGAAGGGGCACAUGGACGAAUCGAACAUACACCGGAAUGAGAGGGAUCUGGAUACUGUAUAGGUAUGGGACUAUACAGUUGAAAGAUAGCUUAAAGGAAUUGAUUUGGCUACUCAUAUCAUCAAAAAUGCAUUUACUUUUCGGAAGCCUAACCCAUAAGAACUCCAUGGUUAAGCGUGCUUAGCCUGGAGAAAUUCUGGGAUGGGUGACCUUCUGGGAAGUUUUCCCAGAAAGUGUGCGAGUGAGGACAAAGCACACUGAAAAGUCUCGUGGUGAUGUAUGGGGGCAGUCAGCAGUCCCUGUAAGUCGCCGGAGUGUUACAUCACCAAAACAUGCAUGUGCGUUGAUGUAUUG